rnacentral:lncRNA from 1 species
UUUUCAUAAUCAUGAAGAAGUGAAAGAUCUGAUGGAUGAAAAUUGCAUUUUGAAGACAGAUAUUGCUAUACUCAGACAGGAAAUAUGCACAAUGAAAAAUGACAACCUGGAAAAAGAAAAUAAAUAUCUUAAGGACAUUAAAAUUGCUAAAGAAACAAAUGCUGCCCUUGAAAAGUGUAUAAAACUCAAUGAGGAAAUGAUAACAAAAACAGCAUUCUGGUAUCAACAAGAGCUUAAUGAUCUCAAAGCUGAGAAUACAAGGCUCAAUUCUGAACUGUUGAAGGAAAAAGAAAGCAAGAAAAAACUGGAAGCUGAAAUUGAAUCUUAUCAGUCUAGACUGGCUGCUGCUAUAUAAGUAAACACAGUGAAAAUGUGAAAACAGAAAGAAACCUAAAACUUGCUUUAGAGAGAACACAAGAUAUUUCUGAGCAAGUAAAAAUGAGUUCUGAUAUUUCCGAAAUAGAAGAUAAGAAUUAGUUUCUUACUGAACAACUUUCUAAAAUGCAAAUUAAAUUCAAUACCUUAAAAGAUAAGUUCUGGCCGCUGCCGCUGCAGCCUGCUGGGCUGGAGGAAGUGGAGCUGGUGCCGUCCCUGCUCUCUUGCUGGGAAGCAACUGAGGGGGCGGCGCGGCAGGCCCCGGCAGCCGAAGAGGCUGGCAGGUGGCACUGUGGGGUGGGUGCUCCUGGUGAAAGGAGUCCACUGCAUGCGUGUGGGUGGAGUCCGGCCCCCGAGAGCCACCGACAUGAAGAAAGACGUGCAGAUCCUGGUGGUGGGAGAACCUAGAGUUGGGAAGACAUCAUUGAUUAUGUCUCUGGUCAGUGAAGAAUUUCCAGAAGAGGUUCCUCCCCGGGCAGAAGAAAUCACCAUUCCAGCUGAUGUCACCCCAGAGAGAGUUCCAACACACAUUGUAGAUUACUCAGAAGCAGAACAGAGUAAUGAACAACUUCAUCAAGAAAUAUCUCAGGCUAAUGUCGUCUGUAUAGUGUAUGCCGUUAACAACAAGCAUUCUAUUGAUAAGGUAACAAGUCAAUGGAUUCCUCUCAUAAAUGAAAGAACAGACAAAGACAGCAGGCUGGAGUGCAGUGGCGGGAUCUCGGCUCGCUACAACCUUCACCUCCCAGCCGCCUGCCUUGGCCUCCCAAAGUGCUAAGAUUACAGCCUCUGCCCGCCCGCCACCCCAUCUAGGAAGUGAGCAGCGUCUCUGCCUGGCUGCCCCGUCUGGGAAGUGAGGAGUGCCUCUGCCCACCCACCACCCCGUCUGGGAUGUGAGGAGCGCCUCUGCCCAGCCACCCCAUCUGGGAAGUGAGGAGCGCCUCUGCCCAGCCGCCACCCCGUCUAGGAAGUGAGGAUCGUCUCUGCCUGGCCGCCCAUUGUCUGGGAUGUGAGGAGCCCCUCUGCCCAGCCACCCUGAAUGGGAAGUGAGGAGCACCUCUGCCUGGCCGCCCCAUCUGGGAAGUAAGGAGCACCUCUGCCCGGUUGCCACCCCAUCUAGGAAGUGAGGAGCGUCUCUGCCUGACCGCCCAUCCUCUGGGAUGUGAGGAGCACCUCUGCCUGGCUGCCCCAUCUGGGAUGUGAGGAGCACCUCUGCCCUACUGACCAUCGUCUGGGAAGUGAGGAGUGCCUCUGCCCGGCCGCCCCAUCUGGGAGGUGAGGAGCGCCUCUGCCUGGCUGCCCUGCAUCUGGGAGGAAGUGAGGAGUGCCUCUGCCCGGCUGCCCCGUCUGGGAAGUGGGGAGCGCCUCUGUCCAGCCGCCCCAUCUGGGAAGUGAGGAGUGCCUCUGCCUGGCCACCACCCCAUCUAGGAAGUGAGGAGUGCCUCUGCCCGGCCGCCCUGUCUGGGAUUUGGGGAGCGCCUCUGCCCAGCCGCCCCAUCUGGGAAGUGAGGAGUGCCUCUGCCCAGCCGCCCUGUCUGGGAAGUGAGGAGUGCCUCUGCCCAGCUGCCCUGUCUGGGAAGUGAGGAGUGCCUCUGCCCGGCCGCCACCCUGUCUAGGAAGUGAGGAGUGCCUCUGCCCGGCCGCCACCCUGUCUAGGAAGUGAGGAGUGCCUCUGCCCAGCCGCCCCAUCUGGGAUGUGGGGAGUGCCUCUGCCAGGCUGCCCCGCCUGGAAGGUGAGGAGCGUCUCUGCCCGACUGCCCCAUCUGGGAAUUGAGGAGCGCCUCUGCCCGGCCGCCCCGUCUGGGAGGUGAGGAGCGCCUCUGCCUGGCCGCCACCCCGUCUGAGAGGUGAGGAGUGCCUCUGCCUGGCAGCCCCAUCUGGGAACUGAGGAGCGCCUCUGCCCAGCCGCCACCCCAUCUGGGAAGUGGGGAGCACCUCUGCCCGGCUGCCCUGCCUAGGAAGUGGGGAGCGCUUCUGCCCGGCCACCCCGUCUGGGAUGUGAGGAGUGCCUCUGCCCAGCCGCCCUGUCUGGGAUGUGAGGAGCGUCUCUGCCCAGCCGCCACCCCAUCUGGGAAGUGGGGAGCGCCUCUGCCUGGCCGCCCCAUCUGGGAAGUAGGGAGCGCCUCUGCCCGGCCACCCCAUCUGGGAAGUGAGGAGCGCUUCUGCCCGGCCGCCCCAUCUGGGAAGUGAGGAGCACCUCUGCCUGGCCGCCCUGUCUAGGAGGAAGUGAGGAGCGCCUCUGCCCGGUCACCCUGUCUGGGAGGUGAGGAGUGCCUCUGCCCGGCCGCCCCAUCUGGGAUGUGGGGAGUGCCUCUGCCUGGCCGCCCAUCAUCUGGGAAGUGGGGAGCACCUCUGCCCGGCUGCCCCAUCUGGGAAGUGAGGAGUGCCUCUCCCUGGCCACCCCAUCUGGGAAGUGGGGAGCGCCUCUGCCCGGCCACCCCGUCUGGGAAGUGAGGAGCGCCUCUGCCCGGCCACCCCGUCUGGGAAGUGGGGAGUGCCUCUGCCCGGCCACCCCAUCUGGGAAGUGAGGAGCACCUCUGCCCAGCUGCCCCACCUGGGAAGUGGGGAGCACCUCUGCCCGGCCGCCCAUAGUCUGGGAAGUGAGGAGUGCCUCUGCCCGGCCGCCCCAUCUGGGAUGUGGGGAGUGCCUCUGCCUGGCCGCCCAUCAUCUGGGAAGUGGGGAGCACCUCUGCCCGGCUGCCCCAUCUGGGAAGUGAGGAGUGCCUCUCCCUGGCCACCCCAUCUGGGAAGUGGGGAGCGCCUCUGCCCAGCCACCCCGUCUGGGAAGUGAGGAGCGCCUCUGCCCGGCCACCCCGUCUGGGAAGUGGGGAGUGCCUCUGCCCGG